GCCACAUGAUGACACGUGUAGAUGCAAGAGCCCCCGGGCUGUGCUGACCUGCUUAUCUAUCACCCUUGUCUGAUGGCC
ensembl:snoRNA SNORD83 Small nucleolar RNA SNORD83